rnacentral:rRNA from 1 species
UACGUAGGGUGCGAGCGUUAAUCGGAAUUACUGGGCGUAAAGCGUGCGCAGGCGGUUUUGUAAGCCAGAUGUGAAAUCCCCGGGCUCAACCUGGGAAUGGCAUUUGGGACUGCAAGGCUGGAGUUUGGCAGAGGAGACUGGAAUUCCCGGUGUAGCAGUGAAAUGCGCAGAUAUCAGGAGGAACACCAAUGGCGAAGGCAGCUCGCUGGAACGGUACUGACGCUGAGGCGCGAAAGCGUGGGGAGCGAACAGG